UUUCUAGUCACAACCCUCACUGGGAAAGGACAGCUCCGUUUGGGGUCUCAUAAGAUACUGCAUGACCAGUUUUGAUGACAUCUGGUGGUUUGGCCUCCGUCCCUUAGACGAGGGUUUCUUCAUCAUCAUCAUAACCACUGAUUGUGGACCAUCAUUGGAAUAAAUCCGGUUGUAAAAACAGCAUGCUUUUGUGUCUCUCCAUUACCCUGCAUAAGCCUCUGCGACAAAUGGGAUCCCUGCAAGAUAAUCCAGUAAUUAAACACUUAUAGAACAAUACUUACCUUUAAUGCCAAUUAUACAAUGUAUGCUAUUUCUCAUGUCACUAUCAAUACAUUGCUAU